AUUGAACGCUGGCGGCAUGCCUUACACAUGCAAGUCGAACGUGAAAGCGGGGCAACCCGCAAGUAGAGUGGCGGACGGGUGAGUAAUACAUCGGAACGUGUCCAGUAAUGGGGGAUAACCUAGCGAAAGUUAGGCUAAUACCGCAUACGAUCUGCGGAUGAAAGCGGGGGAUGCGGCACUAAAGGCUUUUGGCGAAGGUGGCCAAAGGUGAGUCAAGAGCUUUUAGUGCUGCACCUCGCGUUAUUGGAGCGGGCUGAUGUCUGAUUAGCUAGUUGGUGAGGUAAAGGCUUACCAAGGCGACGAUCAGUAGCUGGUCUGAGAGGACGGCCAGCCACACUGGGACUGAGACA
rnacentral:rRNA from 1 species